UGGAAAAACCGUUUUUUACUAUUUUUAUGAGAUGUAGAAGCAAAAGAUACAUACAAUCCUAAAUUUUCAAUUUUUUAUCUCAGACCGUUAUUUUUUAAUAGCCAUUUAAAUAUUUUACAUCUAUAUAUAUAAAAGAAAGUCGAGGUUGUGUUAGUUACACCAUUUAUAACUCGAGAACGACUGAACAGAUUUUUAUGAAAUUUUACAUGUAUAUUCUAGCGGUCUGGGAAUAGGAUAAUAUGGAGUUUCAUACCCGUACGUCAUAAGGGGUGUUGCCCCCCCUGAUAUAUUUUUUUAAUUUUUGGAAAAACCGUUUUUUACUAUUUUUAUGAGAUGUAGAAGCAAAAGGUACAUACAAUCCUAAAUUUUCAAUUUUUUAUCUCAGACCGUUAUUUUUUAAUAGCCAUUUAAAGAUUUUACAUCUAUAUAUAUAAAAGAAAGUCGAGGUUGUGUUAGUUACACCAUUUAUAACUCGAGAACGACUGAACAGAUUUUUAUGAAAUUUUACAUGUAUAUUCUAGCGGUCUGGGAAUAGGAUAAUAUGGAGUUUCAUACCCGUACGUCAUAAGGGGUGUUGCCCCCCCUGAUAUAUUUUUUUAAUUUUUGGAAAAACCGUUUUUUACUAUUUUUAUGAGAUGUAGAAGCAAAAGAUACAUACAAUCCUAAAUUUUCAAUUUUUUAUCUCAGACCGUUAUUUUUUAAUAGCCAUUUAAAUAUUUUACAUCUAUAUAUAUAAAAGAAAGUCGAGGUUGUGUUAGUUACACCAUUUAUAACUCGAGAACGACUGAACAGAUUUUUAAAAUUUUACAUGUAUAUUCUAGCGGUCUGGGAAUAGGAUAAUAUGGAGUUUCAUACCCGUACGUCAUAAGGGGUGUUGCCCCCCUGAUAUAUUUUUUUAAUUUUUGGAAAAACCGUUUUUUACUAUUUUUAUGAGAUGUAGAAGCAAAAGAUACAUACAAUCCUAAAUUUUCAAUUUUUUAUCUCAGACCGUUAUUUUUUAAUAGCCAUUUAAAUAUUUUACAUCUAUAUAUAUAAAAGAAAGUCGAGGUUGUGUUAGUUACACCAUUUAUAACUCGAGAACGACUGAACAGAUUUUUAUGAAAUUUUACAUGUAUAUUCUAGCGGUCUGGGAAUAGGAUAAUAUGGAGUUUCAUACCCGUACGUCAUAAGGGGUGUUGCCCCCCCUGAUAUAUUUUUUUAAUUUUUGGAAAAACCGUUUUUUACUAUUUUUAUGAGAUGUAGAAGCAAAAGGUACAUACAAUCCUAAAUUUUCAAUUUUUUAUCUCAGACCGUUAUUUUUUAAUAGCCAUUUAAAGAUUUUACAUCUAUAUAUAUAAAAGAAAGUCGAGGUUGUGUUAGUUACACCAUUUAUAACUCGAGAACGACUGAACAGAUUUUUAUGAAAUUUUACAUGUAUAUUCUAGCGGUCUGGGAAUAGGAUAAUAUGGAGUUUCAUACCCGUACGUCAUAAGGGGUGUUGCCCCCCCUGAUAUAUUUUUUUAAUUUUUGGAAAAACCGUUUUUUACUAUUUUUAUGAGAUGUAGAAGCAAAAGAUACAUACAAUCCUAAAUUUUCAAUUUUUUAUCUCAGACCGUUAUUUUUUAAUAGCCAUUUAAAUAUUUUACAUCUAUAUAUAUAAAAGAAAGUCGAGGUUGUGUUAGUUACACCAUUUAUAACUCGAGAACGACUGAACAGAUUUUUAUGAAAUUUUACAUGUAUAUUCUAGCGGUCUGGGAAUAGGAUAAUAUGGAGUUUCAUACCCGUACGUCAUAAGGGGUGUUGCCCCCCCUGAUAUAUUUUUUUAAUUUUUGGAAAAAUCGUUUUUUACUAUUUUUAUGAGAUGUAGAAGCAAAAGAUACAUACAAUCCUAAAUUUUCAAUUUUUUAUCUCAGACCGUUAUUUUUUAAUAGCCAUUUAAAUAUUUUACAUCUAUAUAUAUAAAAGAAAGUCGAGGUUGUGUUAGUUACACCAUUUAUAACUCGAGAACGACUGAACAGAUUUUUAUGAAAUUUUACAUGUAUAUUCUAGCGGUCUGGGAAUAGGAUAAUAUGGAGUUUCAUACCCGUACGUCAUAAGGGGUGUUGCCCCCCCUGAUAUAUUUUUUUAAUUUUUGGAAAAACCGUUUUUUACUAUUUUUAUGAGAUGUAGAAGCAAAAGGUACAUACAAUCCUAAAUUUUCAAUUUUUUAUCUCAGACCGUUAUUUUUUAAUAGCCAUUUAAAGAUUUUACAUCUAUAUAUAUAAAAGAAAGUCGAGGUUGUGUUAGUUACACCAUUUAUAACUCGAGAACGACUGAACAGAUUUUUAUGAAAUUUUACAUGUAUAUUCUAGCGGUCUGGGAAUAGGAUAAUAUGGAGUUUCAUACCCGUACGUCAUAAGGGGUGUUGCCCCCCCUGAUAUAUUUUUUUAAUUUUUGGAAAAACCGUUUUUUACUAUUUUUAUGAGAUGUAGAAGCAAAAGAUACAUACAAUCCUAAAUUUUCAAUUUUUUAUCUCAGACCGUUAUUUUUUAAUAGCCAUUUAAAUAUUUUACAUCUAUAUAUAUAAAAGAAAGUCGAGGUUGUGUUAGUUACACCAUUUAUAACUCGAGAACGACUGAACAGAUUUUUAAAAUUUUACAUGUAUAUUCUAGCGGUCUGGGAAUAGGAUAAUAUGGAGUUUCAUACCCGUACGUCAUAAGGGGUGUUGCCCCCCUGAUAUAUUUUUUUAAUUUUUGGAAAAACCGUUUUUUACUAUUUUUAUGAGAUGUAGAAG